rnacentral:lncRNA from 1 species
AACCAACAAUGAAUUUCAAGCCACUAGAAAUGAGCAGCACCUUAAAUAUUUUACAAUUCCUGAUAAAUCUAUGAACCUGGAUAUUAUGAAUUUGACAUGAAAAGACAUGGCAAUAAAUAUGAAUUACAAUAGAUUUCUACACAAUAAGCAUCAAUUAUGGACUAAGAAAAAGCCUAACUACAAAAGAAAGCUCCAAUGUAGCAAGUAGACGAACAAAUUAUUUUUGGAAUAAUUGCAUAUGGCUCCCUUGCAAAGGUAUCAAAUAGCAAAUAUAUUCCUACAAAACUUAAGUUGUCAAAUUUAUCUCUCCAAAAGUCCUCCCGUCUGCAGCUAUAUCCUUUUGUUACCAAAAUUUAGAUAACGAUGAGUUAAAAAAGAUAACCACAGUUAGCUUAGAGGUAAAAUAAUCUUUUUACCCCUUAUAUAUAUAAUUUGUAUUCCAAUGUUGAAUCCCGUCAUCUUUCUCACCCUCUCCUCUUUAUCCAUGGCGACAGCAAGAACUAUGGCGGCGGCGACGUCGAAGGCGAGGCCCUCGGUUGCGGCAAAAAUGAAGUACGCCGCACGUGCCAUGGUGAAGGCGAGGAGAGAGAGAAAGAAAGAUAGCUUUUUCCAGAGACAAAUUUAUAAGGGCAACAUAGUCAUUUUACGCACCACCCACCAUUAAAAAACUAACAGUGAAUCAAACGGCAGGGACACAUAUGAACAAACCAAAACUUUUGGAGGGAUAUAUUUGCAAACCAGAGAAUUUUCGAAGGGAUAAACCUGAUCAUUUAAGUUUUGUAAGGAUUUAUUAAUUAUUUGAUACUUUUACAGGGACCUGUAUGAAAUUAACCCUUUUUUUCAUGGAAAAGUCUACCUGUACUCCUAUAGGAAGGUGUAUAUCCUACAACUAUCAGAUCCAAUGGCUGAUAUUAACCCACUAGCACAGUAGCUUCUAACCUCACCCCUUUUUUACUUCUUGCUAAAGCUAACCUAUAUUAAAGCCUACUACUCUUCUCUCUCCCGCACAGCUCCUCUUGCUAUCUCUGUUUCUCGCUCUCUCUCGCUUCCUCGCUUUCUCUCGCUCUCUCGCCUCUCGUUUUCUCUCGCGCUCUUCUCUCUCUCUCUUGCUCGCAGUCUCGCGCUCUUCUCUCUCUCUCUCCCUUGCUCGCAG